rnacentral:rRNA from 1 species
UCGGUGUCAACUGGCGUGUUCGCGGGACGUCCUGCCGGGUGGGCUUAGCCGUCGGCGGCGCCUCCCUCCGGGGCGGCGUCGUUGGGCGGCGGUCCAACUUUUCAAUCCCACCGCGGUGCUCUUCGUCGGGUGUCGAGGUGGGCCGGCACGUUUACUUUGAACAAAUUAGAGUGCUUAAAGCAGGCUAAAAUCUCGCCUGAAUACUGUGUGCAUGGAAUAAUGGAAUAGGACCUCGGUUCUAUUUUGUUGGUUUUCGGAACCCCGAGGUAAUGAUUAAUAGGAACGGAUGGGGGCAUUCGUAUUGCGACGUUAGAGGUGAAAUUCUUGGAUCGUCGCAAGACGAACAAACGCGAAAGCAUUUGCCAAAAACGCUUUCAUUGAUCAAGAACGAAAGUUAGAGGUUCGAAGGCGAUCAGAUACCGCCCUAGUUCUAACCAUAAACGAUGCCAGCUAGCGAUCCGCCGACGUUCCUCCGAUGACUCGGCGGGCAGCUUCCGGGAAACCAAAGCUUUUGGGUUCCGGGGGAAGUAUGGGUUUGCAAAGCUGAAACUUAAAGGAAUUGACGGAAGGGCACCACCAGGAGUGGAGCCUGCGGCUUAAUUUGACUCAACACGGGAAAACUCACCAGGCCCGGACACCGGAAGGAUUGACAGAUUGACAGCUCUUUCUUGAUUCGGUGGGUGGUGGUGCAUGGCCGUUCUUAGUUGGUGGAGCGAUUUGUCUGGUUAAUUCCGAUAACGAACGAGACUCUAGCCUGCUAAAUAGGCGUUAUAUCGACAUCUCAAAGGCCCGCCGGCCAUCGGCGUUCUGCGUCGUGGUCGCGCGU